AUUGAACGCUGGCGGCAGGCCUAACACAUGCAAGUCGAACGAGUGGCGGACGGGUGAGUAAUGUCUGGGAAACUGCCUGAUGGAGGGGGAUAACUACUGGAAACGGUAGCUAAUACCGCAUACCAUCGGAUGUGCCCAGAUGGGAUUAGCUAGUAGGUGGGGUAAAGGCUCACCUAGGCGACGAUCCCUAGCUGGUCUGCGAGGAUGACCAGACACACUGGGACGGAGACACGGUCCAGAAUCCAACGGGAGGGAGCAGUGGGGAAUAUUGGGCAAUGGGCGCAAGCCUGAUGCAGCCAUGCCGCGUGUAUGAAGAAGGCCUUCGGGUUGUAAAGUGCUUUCGGCGGGGAGGCGUUACCCGCAGAGGAAGCACCGGCUAACUCCGUGCCAGCAGCCGCGGUAAUUC
rnacentral:rRNA from 1 species